ensembl:rRNA 5S_rRNA 5S ribosomal RNA
GCUUACGGCCAUACCAGCCUGAAUACGUCCGAUCUCGGAAGCUAAGCAGGGUCGGGCCUGGUUAGUACUUGGAUGGGAGACCGCCUGGGAAUACCAGGUGCUGUAAGCU